rnacentral:rRNA from 1 species
UUGACGGGGGCCCGCACAAGCGGUGGAGCAUGUGGUUUAAUUCGAUGCAACGCGAAGAACCUUACCUACUCUUGACAUCCAGAGAACUUUCCAGAGAUGGAUUGGUGCCUUCGGGAACUCUGAGACAGGUGCUGCAUGGCUGUCGUCAGCUCGUGUUGUGAAAUGUUGGGUUAAGUCCCGCAACGAGCGCAACCCUUAUCCUUUGUUGCCAGCGGUUAGGCCGGGAACUCAAAGGAGACUGCCAGUGAUAAACUGGAGGAAGGUGGGGAUGACGUCAAGUCAUCAUGGCCCUUACGAGUAGGGCUACACACGUGCUACAAUGGCAUAUACAAAGAGAAGCGACCUCGCGAGAGCAAGCGGACCUCAUAAAGUAUGUCGUAGUCCGGAUUGGAGUCUGCAACUCGACUCCAUGAAGUCGGAAUCGCUAGUAAUCGUGGAUCAGAAUGCCACGGUGAAUACGUUCCCGGGCCUUGUACACACCGCCCGUCACACCAUGGGAGUGGGUUGCAAAAGAAGUAGGUAGCUAACCUUCGGGAGGCGCUACCACU